rnacentral:rRNA from 1 species
UACGAAGGGGGCUAGCGUUGCUCGGAAUCACUGGGCGUAAAGCGCACGUAGGCGGCUUCUUAAGUCAGGGGUGAAAUCCUGGAGCUCAACUCCAGAACUGCCUCUGAUACUGAGGAGCUCGAGUCCGGGAGAGGUGAGUGGAACUCCUAGUGUAGAGGUGGAAUUCGUAGAUAUUAGGAAGAACACCAGUGGCGAAGGCGGCUCACUGGUCCGGUACUGACGCUGAGGUGCGAAAGCGUGGGGAGCAAACAGG